UACGUAGGGAGCAAGCGUUGUCCGGAAUCAUUGGCGUAAAGCGCGCGUAGGUGGCCUCAUAAGUCCGCUGUGAAAGUCAAAGGCUCAACCUUUGAAAGCCGGUGGAUACUGUGGGGCUAGAGUACGGAAGAGGCGAGUGGAAUUCCUGGUGUAGCGGUGGAAUGCGCAGAUAUCAGGAGGAACACCAAUAGCGAAGGCAGCUCGCUGGGACGUUACUGACACUGAGGCGCGAAAGCCGUGGGGAGCGAACAGG
rnacentral:rRNA from 1 species